GACGGUGUGAGGUUUCCUCAUGCUGCUCAGAACAGAGCACAAUUUAAAACUUAUGAGUUGUUUAUUUCUGGAAUUUUCCAUGUAAUAUUUUUGGACCACAGUUAAUAGCAGGUAACUGAAACUGUGGAAAGUGAAACCACAGAUACGGGGAGACUACUGUAUAAGCAUUGAGUAGAUAAAGGGGGAAAGAUACAAAUUAAGCAAGGUUAAGGAGAGAGGAUGAGCUGAAAUCAAAGGAAGUGAGAAAAUAAUUUUGUGGGCAAGAAGAAGAUGAGAGAUUUCCAGCAAGUACAGUGGGAGGUGGAGUGGAAUGGCAGACUCUAAGCAACAAAGAAACACUCUUCUGUGUUAAAGGAGGGGGCUAGGCCAGAAGGAGGCUUUAUUUGUAGUUAACACAACUACGUGUCCAGUGGACACUUAUUCAAUUAGUUUUAACACAGAAAGACAAGAAGGAGGUGGGUAGAGCAAGGACUAUUUGCAGAAAGUAGUAAAGAAGAAAGUGGGAAUUGAGGAGGAAAAAUAAGAUCAAACUAUGUGAUGCGGGGCUAGAAAGUGUUCCUUUUGGAUACAGCCCUGGAGAAGAUAAAAGAUAUGAAGGCAACUUGAACCAGAGGCCAGUGGAACCCCACUUCUCCACUAUCAGGAUCUCAACCACUGAAUGGGAAAGGGAGGGAGAAGACAGAGAAACAGAAAGCAAACUGUGAAAAGGAGGAAAAUACAAAACAAAGUUCCAAAGUGAGACUUCAAUUUUGUGCACAGAUCCAAAAGAGUUGGUUCUGUUUGGGGAACUCCUAUAAAAGGCCAACUAUGAAUUCAAGGUGGGUGUGAGGUAAGAGCUGAGGAGUCAAAUGAAAUAUAAGCUAUCCAAGAAUGCCUUUAUUCCAUUUGAGUUUCUGUAUUUACUUUUCUUAAAGGCUGUAUUUCCACUUCUUCUCUCUUGAUAGCUUCAACAUUGUUGAUUACUUGCCUCCUAGAC
rnacentral:lncRNA from 1 species